AUAUAGCACUUUUCUACUCUCCCAGAGUACUCAAAGCACUCUAUUCAACAUACCACAUUCACUUUCUGCUUUUUAGUGCUUCCUAACUGUAGGAGCCAUUUUGGGGUUAAUGCCUUAUGUGGCCGCUAGAGGUCACCUUUUUCUGUUUUGCUCAUGUAAAGGUAUUUAAGGUAGACGCACGUAAUCAGCGUCAGGUGUGUCGUUAAGUGUGAGAAGGCAAACAGUUUGUGACCGCUGCGCUGUUAUGUCAAGAUGGCAUUGGAAUAAAGAACAAAAAGGACAAGAGAAGUACAGCUGGAUUUCUUGGACUGUUUACUUAAUUCAUACAUACCAGUGACAUCGCGUCACCCCCGUUAACGACCACCUCAGUGGCUUCAAGCGUAGGCUUAGCCUCUACAAUUAGAGUCACAAACUAGCUUUGCUAUGGGGAAAAGUUUGUGCCAACUGCGCCGCGGUGUUUUGGGGGCUCGGCGCAAACAGGACAAUUAAAGUCUGAGUGAUCGAUCGCCGUGGAGAGCUGAAUGCCGUUUGGAAACGUUUUACCGUGGAGGGUUCACGAGGAGCGGACAGCUGGAGUAUCGGUCUGUCAGCUGACGACGUGGGAUUCCUGGUGGCUGUUCCGUGGAAAUUGGAGAGGACUCAGAAUUCUUCAUCGGAAUCAGCACGGCGCCCAACGUAAGGGUUGCUGUUCAGUUUUCUGUCCAUGAUCACCUGACGAGCGUGAGCAUCUGCUGCUAAAAUACAAAAGUUCAGGGCAGAAAACACGUAGAGCAGAGGCCCGAGGCUGCACCUGUUCUCCGUAGUGUGGAUUAAAAGGUAAAAUUUGCCUUCACUUCUUUCUGUUACCAAUUUUCCCUUUUUCUUUUCCCUGUUUAUAUUUAUCCCAAUCUCUUUAUCCUUGUGUCAUUCCGUAUUACUCAUCCCUCUCUGUUUCUGUCUCACCUCCAUGGGUGGCUGAACAGCUGGGCAGAGAAGCAAAGUACUCUGAUCCAGACGUGCACCUGGACAAGACAAGACAAACCACAGCAACACCAAGAACAAAUGAGAGACAAAGGGUGAAUGCUGGAUAGCUGUGCAGUCAAAAUGCUGUUUUUCUAAAGAAACUCUGUAAUAUUAAACCACAACAAUCACAAGAUUACAAUGUCAGCUGCACUAUUACCAUUGAUGAAGGCAGCUGUUGGACCGAGAAUCGAUCUGUUUCCAUGUCCCUGCUCUUUCUCGUGGUGACUUUGAGUACUCGGGUUGUCCCCUCUCUGUGAAGCCAUGGCAUCAGACCCGAGGGAUGCAUCUUUCUUCUUGUGGGCAAACAAAAUCUCUUUGAGACAGCUGACUUUAAAUGACUGUCCGAGCAACACAAAUACUGGAAAAUACUGGAACAUGGUGUGGCUGCUACAUUCCCUGCCUGUAGGAUGUUGAUGGAUGCUGGACUGAAAUAAGUUCAGAUCUGUACCCAGUGUGACUCUGCAGAAAAUAGUUUUUGGUGGUGUCUAGUUUCACUGAAUGUGUGGCUGCAUCACAAACCAACCCAUGUUCACUGUGUGUUUCUAUAUAAUGUACAUAAACCACCAGCAUGUGGAUUUUAUGACACAGCUGUGAAGUGUUGAAGGAUUGUGUGGAUUUUAAAGAAAUGCAGCAUUUUCAGUUGCAAAACUGUGAUUUGCAACUGAAGGUUAUUGGCCAAAUUUUAAACGAGUAUAACUCUGUGUGUUUGUACUGACACCCUUUUAGGGCUUGUGAUUUUUUGUGUGUUUGUACCACACACUGCUCCGGCAGCAGGAAAACAGAAAACAUCACAAAACAGCACCGUGCUGCCCCGAGCAUGCAGCAGCGAUCAGAGCCAGCGCUGCACUGCUGUCGUGUGUGUUCAUGCAGUAGGUUAAGGAAAAAUCCUUUUUUCCCAAUUAUAGGACAAAAUGGAGCUGAUUAGAAACCAUAAUUUAUUUAAACAAAUAAAACUAAACUAUUGCUUAGAUUUCAUGUGGCUUCUUGUUUUGUUUUUUUUGUUGUUUUUUGUAUUACAGCUAUAAAUGUAACAAACUAGUCAAAGCGGGGUUUUUUUUAAAUGAGAAAAAGUAACAAAGGAUUUACAUGAGCUUACAUUAGAAAAUACAUUAGAGCAAAGCAAACAGUACUCAGAGGUGUCCCAGUGAUUUUCAUUGCUUAAGUCCGUCUUUGUAUGUAUGAAAAUGCGCAUGUGUUAAUGUGUGUGUAUGGAUUCUUAAGGCAAAAUGUGUGUGUGUGUGUGUGUGUGUGUGUGUGUGUGUGGGCAGAGGUUAAUUUAGCCCAGCAGUGAAGAGCCCUUGAUAAAGAGCAGCCUGAUCCCUGUUUAAUUACCUUCCGUCUACAUUUCAUUGGCGUACACUGGGCCAUAGGUGUGUCUGUGUGCGUGUGAUGAAUGUGGGAUUUGUCUCUGAGCAGGGACACCCACGAGACACGGUGCCUUCAGUGGGUAUGUGAGCCUGUACUUGUCUGACAUUUAUCUACCUGUGUGUGUGUGUGUGUGUGUGUGAGCACAAACUGGUUUGCUAUAUGAGGUUUGACAUGUCAUUCUUAUUUCUUUCACUGUUUUAUACUUUAAACACUCUAGGAGGAUCAGUCUGACUCCACGCUGGGAAGAAUGAGUCUGGUAUUUUAUAUCAGAAUAAAAGCCAAAUAGGGAAGACUUCACUGAAAUCAUGUUUUCUCUUUGCAGAAUUUAUAUAAAUUAGUUACUAAAAAGUGCCCGCUUAGACAGUCGAGCACUGAAGCAGCAUAGUAAAACAUCAAAAGGCACAAUUCAAAUAUACAUAAAAGUGAGAAAACGACAGAACAAAAAGCUGUUUUUGUUAAACCUAAUAAUGGAUUAUAUUUAACUGUGUGCAUAUUUGAGAAGGGACGGGCCUCUGAGUGUUCUGAUAUUCGACAACAGUCUGCCAAAGCAUUAAUUCAACCAACAGAUGAAUUCCUAGUAAUACAAAACUCAACUUUUUAAUUAAAAAUAAUUGUUUUAAUUUCAGAUUUUUUGAGGCCCCUGCCUUUGUUGUGUUUGCCCAUUUUGGCCCUAAUUUAGUCCCACUAUUCUGCUCACUAUGACACCCCUGGUGCAAGGGCACAGAAGGAAGAGAGUAAAACCGAAAGAAAGAAGCUGAGACAUGUGGAGAAAGAUGGUCAGCAGGUGGGAAACAAGGAAACCGGUAAAAUGUGUGUACUCAGGAAAGAGAGUUUGAGAAGAAGACAUGGGGGGCAGAUAAGAAAUGGAAAGGUUCCAGGAUGGAGGGAAAGGAGUGGAGGAAGAGAGCGGUGGUGAGUAAUGAUGGUGUGUCCCUGCAGCGCUCACACACAGAGAAAUAACUGUGACUGAACACACACACAAAUGUGAAUGUGCAAAUUCUUAUUUUAUCUUAAUGCUGCAAAAAGUCAUCAUGAUAGAUCACACCACAAGGAUAAACCUGACUUUAACUCUGUGUGCGCCUAAUUAUGGAUGAGCUGCUGCUCUUGUAUUUCUAAUCAUUUAGACGCUUACUUUAAGGGGAAAUAUUUCUUAUUGCUGGGUAAAUACUGUGUGACUCACACACACACCUCAGGACCAACC
rnacentral:lncRNA from 1 species